GAUGAACGCUGGCGGCGUGCCUAACACAUGCAAGUCGAACGGAGUCGGUGUGGUAAUCUCUUCGGAGAUGGAAUUCCGGACUUAUAGGCGCACGGGUGAGUACCGCGUGAGCAAUCUGACUUUACGAGGGGGAUAACAGUAGGAAACGGCUGCUAAUACCGCAUAAAGCAUUACAUUCGCAUGUUCUUGAUGCCAAAGGAGCAAUCCGCUUUUAGAUGAGCUUGGGUCUGUUUAGCAAGUUGGCGGGGUAACGUCCCACCAAGGCGACGAUAAGUAGCCGGACUGAGAGGAUGAACGGCCACAUUGGGACUGAGACACGGCCCAGACGCAUAUGGGAGGAAGCAGUGGGGCAUAUUGCGCAAUGGGGGAAUCUGUGACGCAGCUACGCCGCGUGAUAGAAGCAGGCCUUCGGGUUGUAAAGUUCUUUAAUCAGAGACGAAACAAAUGACGUUACCUAAAGAAUAAGCUCCGGCUAACUACGUG
rnacentral:rRNA from 1 species